rnacentral:rRNA from 1 species
UACCAGCACCCCGAGUGGUCGGGACGUUUUAUUGGGCCUAAAGCAUCCGUAGCCGGUUCUACAAGUCUUCCGUUAAAUCCAGCUGCUUAACAGAUGGGCUGCGGAAGAUACUAUGGAGCUAGGAGGCGGGAGAGGCAAGCGGUACUCGAUGGGUAGGGGUAAAAAUCCGUUGAUCCAUUGAAGACCACCAGUGGCGAAGGCGGCUUGCCAGAACGCGCUCGACGGUGAGGGAUGAAAGCUGGGGGAGCAACCGG